UGCAAAUUUAUUAAAAUUAAUGCAAAUUGCAAUCUAUUGGGGUUUUUUUCUUUUUCUUUUUUUUUUUUUUUUUAAAUGAUAUUGGCAGGCAUGAGUGAGGCAGAAAGACACCGGACUGAUUUUUCACUAUCUUGCAUCUUUUCAAGUACUUUACUCUCAGGCGCAGUGAACAUGAAGUGUCCAAAACUACAUUUUGUCCUCGCUUUGUAUAGGUCGGAAAGCUAAACACAAAGUGGAGCUCUACUUGCACACAAAGUCAUUAACCAGUGUGAAAGCGAGGAGGAUUACUUUCACCAGCAACGUGUAUCGGUGAACAGCAAAUACAUGUGGAGAGGAACAACGUGUGCGGAGCAGCAAGGCACCGGAGGGAACGACCGUGAAAAUCCACCCCUCCGUCGCCCAGGUUGUGGCCUCUCGACGUCGGGGCGCAACGGCAGAGGAGGCCCGCCCAGCUCACAGGCUCCUCAGGCUCCUGCGCGGGAGGUUUCAUCGUCAUCGUUAAGCUUCUGCGGCAAGAUAAACCUGAGGACGUCGAAGGGGAAACGCGCGGGAGGCGUGUUCGGUCCCUCAGUGUUGCCGAUGGCUGCUGGACCUGGGGUAGAUAACGUGACGAAGAGGAACUGAUGACCUCUGUCAGAAACGUUAGUAGAACGCUUCUGUUGGAAGGGAAUUAUGUGGUCAUGUUUGUGUGGCUUUUCGCAGGAAAAUAUUCCGUAUUAAUUGGCAACAGUACAAAUCUUAGGAUAGAAAAUGCCUCCUGGUAUCUGGUUCUGUAUAGAAACCAAUAAAGUAGAGCAAAUUUGUUGCUAAACUGUAGCU
rnacentral:lncRNA from 1 species